ACUCUUCCUCCAGUGAAAAUGUUCAUCCCCUGUAGUCCUCUUUCAUCAAAAUCCACCAGCAUAUUUGCUUAGAACUGUUUUGACUUGGAAAUGGUG